rnacentral:lncRNA from 1 species
GAAUUUUCAGUUAACUUCUUUAUGAUUGAUGUUUGACUUAGGGAUUGCUUAUGGCAAUUGAAGAGAUCUUUUGAUCCUCCCUUGUUCAUCUCAUAUGCCAUGUAUUAGAGGCCUUUUACCUUGAUUUUAUUUGGUCCUUAAAUUGAAGAGAUCUUUUGAUCCUCCCUUGUUCAUCUCAUAUGCCAUGUAUUAGAGGCCUUUUACCUUGAUUUUAUUUGGUCCUUACCUCAUUUCCUGAUUAAAUUAUUCAGUGGACCCUUU